rnacentral:tRNA from 48 species
UUAGCUCAGCUGGGAGAGCACCUCCCUUACAAGGAGGGGGUCGGCGGUUCGAUCCCGUCA